rnacentral:misc_RNA from 1 species
CGAUCCUUGAGGAGGUACCAUGAGGUACCACUUUUUCUAUUGUAAAUUUGGUACCUCUUGGUACCUAAGUACUAUGAGGUACUAAAUUUUACACUAAAUUUUUGGUACCUCAUGGUAUUUUCUCAAGGACCGUAGAAUUG